UACAGAGGUCUCAAGCGUUUGUUCGGAAUCACUGGGCGUAAAGGGUGUGUAGGCUGCGUGUUAAGUCAGAUGUGAAAUCCCGGGGCUCAACCUCGGAACUGCAUCCGAUACUGGCAUGCUAGAGAAUUGGAGAGGAGUCUAGAAUUCACGGUGUAGCAGUGAAAUGCGUAGAUAUCGUGAGGAAUACCAAGUGCGAAGGCAGGACUCUGGACAUUUUUCUGACGCUGAGAACACGAAGGCCAGGGGAGCAAAACGGGG
rnacentral:rRNA from 1 species